CUGCCAAUAUCAUAAGCGGAGGAAAAGAAACCAACCGGGAUUGCCUUAGUAACGGCGAGUGAAGCGGCAAAAGCUCAAAUUUGAAAUCUGGUACCUUCGGUGCCCGAGUUGUAAUUUGGAGAGGGCAACUUUGGGGCCGUUCCUUGUCUAUGUUCCUUGGAACAGGACGUCAUAGAGGGUGAGAAUCCCGUGUGGCGAGGAGUGCGGUUCUUUGUAAAGUGCCCUCGAAGAGUCGAGUUGUUUGGGAAUGCAGCUCUAAGUGGGUGGUAAAUUCCAUCUAAAGCUAAAUAUUGGCGAGAGACCGAUAGCGAACAAGUACAGUGAUGGAAAGAUGAAAAGAACUUUGAAAAGAGAGUGAAAAAGUACGUGAAAUUGUUGAAAGGGAAGGGCAUUUGAUCAGACAUGGUGUUUUGUGCCCUCUGCUCCUUGUGGGUAGGGGAAUCUCGCAUUUCACUGGGCCAGCAUCAGUUUUGGUGGCAGGAUAAAUCCAUAGGAAUGUAGCUUGCCUCGGUAAGUAUUAUAGCCUGUUGGGAAUACUGCCAGCUGGGACUGAGGACUGCGACGUAAGUCAAGGAUGCUGGCAUAAUGGUUAUAUGCCGCCCGUCUUGAACCCGGACCAA
rnacentral:rRNA from 1 species